rnacentral:rRNA from 1 species
GAUGAACGCUGGCGGCGUGCUUAACACAUGCAAGUCGAGCGAAGCACUUUUGCGGAUUUCUUCGGAUUGAAGCAAUUGUGACUGAGCGGCGGACGGGUGAGUAACGCGUGGGUAACCUGCCUCAUACAGGGGGAUAACAGUUGGAAACGGCUGCUAAUACCGCAUAAGCGCACAGUACCGCAUGGUACCGUGUGAAAAACUCCGGUGGUAUGAGAUGGACCCGCGUCUGAUUAGCUAGUUGGUGGGGUAACGGCCUACCAAGGCGACGAUCAGUAGCCGACCUGAGAGGGUGACCGGCCACAUUGGGACUGAGACACGGCCCAAACUCCUACGGGAGGCAGCAGUGGGGAAUAUUGCACAAUGGGGGAAACCCUGAUGCAGCGACGCCGCGUGAGCGAUGAAGUAUUUCGGUAUGUAAAGCUCUAUCAGCAGGGAAGAAAAUGACGGUACCUGACUAAGA